rnacentral:lncRNA from 1 species
AAUCAUCGUGUGUGAUGAAUCACAAAAAAUAAUAACGUACAUAAGGAAUAUAAGAGUUUGUGUUUAGUUUUUGAGAAGUUUUCUAAACAUCAAUAAAAAAAACUCUUAAUUGAACUAUUGCGUGCGUUCAAAACCAAGACUCGAUUGAACACUUUCGUUCUCUAGUCACUUUAAUAUAUUUCAUAGUUUAGUGACUUUUUUGCGUGACUGCUAGGAGCAUGAAAUUUAUAUAUUUAAAGGGUUGGAGUAAAAAUACGUAUAUGAAUUGUUACUCUUUCAGAAAUUUGUGUAGACAUACCGUGACCCUUCCUUUUGAUCGUGAAAUGAUACGGUGUGACAAUCAUCAAAAAAAAAUACACAAAGGAAUAUUAAAAAAAAAAAAUUGAAAGAUAUGGGCACUUAUUGAAAGCAAAGAUCUCUGAAUCAUUGGGGGGACGGGUUAGUGGCAUAUGAUUAAGUUUAAUUGAUGGCGACUUAUUAUUCUCC